rnacentral:rRNA from 1 species
GUUAAGCGACUAAGCGUACACGGUGGAUGCCCUGGCAGUCAGAGGCGAUGAAGGGCGUGCUAAUCUGCGAUAAGCGCCGGUAAGGUGAUAUGAACCGUUAUAACCGGCGAUACCCGAAUGGGGAAACCCAGUGUGAUUCGUCACACUAUCAUUAACUGAAUCCAUAGGUUAAUGAGGCGAACCGGGGGAACUGAAACAUCUAAGUACCCCGAGGAAAAGAAAUCAACCGAGAUUCCCCCAGUAGCGGCGAGCGAACGGGGAGGAGCCCAGAGCCUGAAUCAGCAUGUGUGUUAGUGGAAGCGUCUGGAAAGGCGCGCGAUACAGGGUGACAGCCCCGUACACAAAAGCGCAUGUGCUGUGAGCUCGAUGAGUAGGGCGGGACACGUGGUAUCCUGUCUGAAUAUGGGGGGACCAUCCUCCAAGGCUAAAUACUCCUGACUGACCGAUAGUGAACCAGUACCGUGAGGGAAAGGCGAAAAGAACCCCGGCGAGGGGAGUGAAAAAGAACCUGAAACCGUGUACGUACAAGCAGUGGGAGCACCCUUUUGGGUGUGACUGCGUACCUUUUGUAUAAUGGGUCAGCGACUUAUAUUCUGUAGCAAGGUUAACCGAAUAGGGGAGCCGGAGGGAAACCGAGUCUUAAUUGGGCGUUAAGUUGCAGGGUAUAGACCCGAAACCCGGUGAUCUAGCCAUGGGCAGGUUGAAGGUUGGGUAACACUAACUGGAGGACCGAACCGACUAAUGUUGAAAAAUUAGCGGAUGACCUGUGGCUGGGGGUGAAAGGCCAAUCA